CAGACACCUCGGCAGGGCCGAGUGGAAUGCUUCGUGGCCCGGAACCAGCUGGCUUUCCACAGCCUGCACACAUAGUGCAGAUAUUAAUAGAAGGCGGAGUGGGGGUAGGGAGUGGGGGGGGGUAAGUCCAGAAGCCCUGCCCUCAUUCUUCUACAGAUCCAGCCACAACGCCAAGCAGGACGGGCGCCUUGAGAGAGAGCAAACAGAAUUGGAAUUGAAGAGAGAGGAGAGAGUAGCUGCAUCCCACUGAAGGGCCUGGGUUGCUCCACGAAGAAAGUGGCUGGUGGAUGGGCGUGGUGGUUUGAAUGACAAUGACCCCCAUAGGCUCCAAUAGAGUGGUGUAAUUUGAGAGGAUUAGGACCUAUGCGCUGUUGGAGUCAGUGUGUCACCGGGGGAGGGCUUUGAGGUGUCAGAUUGCCCAAGCCAGGCCCAGUGUCUCUCUCUUCCUGCCAAUUCCAUCCCAAUUAGUGGAACUCUCAGCUACCUCUCCAGCACCACGUCUGCCCAGCUGCCGCCAUGCUUCCCACUUUGAUGACCGUGAACUUCCUCCAAACCGUUCUUGCUUGUAUUCAUUUGCUUAUUUGAAUCUUCUCUGAAACCACUGGUCAUUACCACUAAUGAACGUUUUGGAUCUUCAUCCAUCACUUUACCUUGGAGUCGAGGAAUUGGGAUGUUAAUCUUUCAGGAUCACAUCUCGCUUCUUCAUAUUCCUCGUGCUUCUGUGACGCAAUCUAUACAUCUGUUAGUUUGGAAAUCCCUUCUGCCUUAUUUUGGAAUCUUCCUCUUGAGCAACCUCUGCUCUUGAGGACAUAAUCCCCAGUGCCACACAGUGAGGAAACAACUGUUCUACCAGCAACGCCGCAAAACCACUGAUGAUGCAGAAACACCACUGAAUUAGACCAAACUCUUCAUACCAGUUACUGUGACAAAACACCAUAACCAAAGAAACUCAUGAAAGGCCAUGCCUCCAAGCUGUUCCGCCAACUCUGCACCAACAUGUGAGCAGACGAGUCUACGUGGACCAUUCUCAUUUAAACUACCACACUCCCAUUGACUCACCACCAACGGUCAUGAGGUAGAAAAUGAGAGCUCGAAUGUAGAAUGCACUAUGAAGCUAAAAUUAGUUAGGGUAGAUGUGGAAAUGAAUGAGAUGAAUGAAUGAGUCGGGGAAAAGGGAAAACAGAGAAAAAUAAAGCCUACAUAAGAGCAGGGGCUGGAAAAAUGGCUCAGUGACCAAGGGCACGGAGCUUAUGGAGGACCUGAGUUCGGUUCCCACUACCCAGAGUGGUCUACAGUCAUUUGAAACUUCAGUCCCAGGAGUCUGACACCCUCUUACACUCCCUGGGCAUCAGGUGUGCCUGUCAUACACAUAUAAUAAAUACACCUGUUUUUCAAAGAGUGGAAGGAAUGUUAUGGAGGAAAAAUAGUAGAACUUCAGGACCUUUUUUUUUUAUUUUAGAGCAACUCCUUUUUGUUUGUUUUUGUUUUAUGUGUAGGGGUGCUUUGCCUGCUUGUAUGGCUGUGUACCCUAUGUGUGUAGGACCCAAAGGUGCCAGAACAAGGCACUGGAUCUUCAAGGUGUUGGAGUUAGAGAUGAUUGUGAGUCCCCAGGAUGAGGGUACUGGGAGUUGAAUCCAAGUCUUCCAAAAGAACAAAAAAUUUUCUCAACCACUGAACCAUCUCUUCAGCCCCAAGAAAAUAUUUUUUAAAAAGUAAAAAUAUUUCCCAAUAACACAAAAGCUUAAAAACAAAAUUAAAUAAAUGUAAGAAGAAAAAUGAAACAUAAACACACACACACACACACACACACACACACAUGCACCCACACACAGAGAAAAAAACACUGGUCCAGCAGGUGAGAGCACGUGCUGCUUCUUUAGAGUUCGGUUCCCAGCAGCCACAUCUUCUGACCUUUAUAAGCACCAUGUGCACAUGCGGUGCCCAUACAUAGAUGCAGGCCAAAUGUUCACACACCAAAUAAAAUGAACAAACCUAAUAAUAAAAAACAAACAAACAAACAAACAACCCCAGCCAGAAAAAAUAGAAGACAUAGCAGAGAGACAGAAAGAGGAUGGUUAAAAUAGGGACAAAAAAAAAAGGGGGGGGGAAUCUUUAAAAUGUUGUCCAAUAAAGUAGAUGGAGGGCCUGAAGAAAUGCCUCAGCAGUUAAGAGCACUGGCUGCUCUUCCAGAGGUCCUGAGUUCAAUUCCCAGAACCCACGUGGCAGUCCACACCCGUCUGUAAUUCCAGUUCCAGCGGGUCUGUUACCUUCACCCCGAUGCACACAAAACAAAAUUAAAUACAUUUUUAAAAUUUAGAUGACUGUAUAAGAAGGAAUAAAAAUUUUAAAUAUAUUCUUAAAUACAACAAAAUAAACAUAUUAUUAAAACUG